ACCCACCAGCUUCUGCGGGAUUGAGAAGCCGCUGGGGAUCCCCCUGCUCCCCGUUUCCUCCUCAAGACUUUGGAGCAUAUGAGGUGGUGGUAGGAGCGCGGGGCUGAGUCAGGUGCAGGGAUGAGGACUCUGCCCGAGGAGCCGCAUGCCUGCUCCUCUGAGCUCCCUGCGGCCCAUCAGUUAGCGUCUUGGCAGUCAGAAGCUCGGAGAGAGGGAGAUGGGUGAUGUUGAACCACCACCACGGGCUGGCAGCAGAGGGACGCCCCUACCCUAGGUUCUAAGCGCCAGGAAGUGGGCACCACCAUUUCUUUAUCGUUGCAACCCCACCUCCAGCACAGUGUCUGGCAUGGGAUCUGGCUCAAGACAUUUUUAUUAAGUGGAUGGAUGGCUAUAGAAUGAAUGAAAUUAGUCACAGUAACUAACUGUGAUUCAAUUCUGAGCAUACUGUACUUCUUACCCGGCCUACGCAAGACUAGCCCACAAGAAGAAUGCCAAGGUGGAUGAUGUGGGCGCUGGGAAUCAGAGCUGAGAGAGAGUGAACAGGAUGUUAAUAAAACCCAAAUGGGGUCCAGGAUUGAGGCGAGUAUGGGAAGAGGACACAAGUACCCACCCUGAUGUAGCUGGACCCACCUCCUGCUGGGAGGGCAUCUCUCCCCAAAGUCAGGUGGAGGCAGAGAAUCGGUUACACCUGUUGGGGAACUGAUGACCCAGACAGGACAGGGUAACAAUGACAGCAAUGAAGAUGUGCCUUUUGGGCAUCGGGAUAUUGCUAGGCAACUGCUUUGAGCAUUUUGCACUUCAGGUCAUGCAUUCUAGUAGCUGCACCUGCUCCCUUGCUCCCUCUCCCUCUCCAGAUCCUGCCAUGCACCGCUUUCCUCUCUUUUCCCUCCCCUUCCAGUUCCUCCAAGUGUUAAACUUGGAAUUGAAGUAUUCCUUUCACCACGGUAUGUCCUGGAUUUCAAACAGCUCCUCUCUCCCUGCCAAUCUCUCCAUCGGAGCCCCUCUCCGUCUGUAUUUGUUAAUUUCAGGUUCUGUGAACAUCGCCUCUGCUCUGGAGGUCAGGUGUGGUGGUGGGGCUCCUCCAUCUGCUGUGAGAGUGUAGGGGUGAAGGGAGGAGGGACUGGGGGUAGCAGAAGGAGCCAGCCUCUUUCCCCAGCUCUCCUGCCUCUUGGCUUCCUACCCUGCAGCCAGGCCAGCACCCACAAGAGGCUGCAGCCUGCAUUUCAGGAUUUCUAGCUUGGCAGGGCGCCUGAGGGGGCAGGAAAUGGAAAGAGAGGGCGGGAGGAGCCACAGGCUUUCCCAGUGCCCUGCCCAGGCUGGGAUGAACAGUAUCUUUGAGAUCAAAAACCAACUGGCCCACACCCUGCAGAGCUGGCCUUGUCCCUGCCCCUUGAUGGGAGGGGAGGGCUGAAUCUGCAAAGUAGGAGGAGUGGGAGGUAGGGGCGCUAGGGAGUGGGUGGCCCCUGCUGUCACUGGGCCCAGGGGUUACUGUCAGGCCCCACCCCCGGGAGACAGAAAGGAGGCAUUUCAGAGCUGGGUGGGCUGUGCUGACACUGAACGCUUGUUUGUCUGCCGCCCACACUCUCUGGGAAUCGCCUGUGUGGCCAGGCACCCCAGGCGGAGGUUGCCGCUAACAGGAGGCCUGUGCCCAUCGGCUCCCCCUCCCCAGAGGGGCAGCUCUGAGAGUGCCCCAAAGGACAAGGGACUGGGAUUCUCAGUGGUGACCUUUGGGGCAGGACAGGGAGAGACCAGGGUAAGCCAGAGCCCUGGACUUUGCCAGGCCUCGUGAACAAAGCACCCAAAAAGUUUUAAUAAAAGGCUCUGAAGACUCUGCCAACCUCCACCUCCGCCCCCCCCAGGAGAGUGUGGCCAACUGGGUGACUUGAGGGUGAAGGGUGAGAGCGUUGGACAGGCCAGGACUCGCUCCUGCUGCUGCGGGCUCCCUGGAGCAGGCGUCCCGGGAAAUCAAAAAUCCUCAGCCCACUCCUGAGUGCAUUUCACAGAAGCAGUCUGAGCUCUGCCCUUCCUUUCUUGAAGACUGGCCUCCAGCUCACAUGGGGCCCAGAAAGGAGCCCCCAGCUCCCCGGAAAUCCUGGAUCCAGGAUUUCACAAGACAGCGAGCAUUAGGGCUCCACAGAGCAUUUGCUGAAGUUCUUUUUUUUUUUUUUUUUCUCAAAAUGUGCGCCUUGGCUGGGAUUCCCUGGGGGCAGAGAGGUGAGAUGUGUUCACAGCCAGGAGGUCACAGCCCUCCUGACUCAGGUAGGGUGGAACAGACUGGGUAGGUGGCAUCUUGGAUUCUGACUUUGCUCUCUUAAUCUAUGGUCUUAUUUACGGCUGGCUUCAUGGACAUUCACCUGUACAAUCACACAGAAGUGCCAUCUUAAAAUUCCUUGUAAUAUUGAACAAGGAACUCUGUGUUUUCAUUUUGCGCUGAGCCCUGAAAAUUAUGUAGCCGAUCCUGGUCUUAAAACACAAGGGGCCGGGUGCAGUGGCUCACACCAGUAAUCCCAGCACUUUGGGAGGUCAAGGCAGGUGGAUCACCUGAGGUCAGGAGUUCGAAACCAGACUGACCGAUAUGGUAAAACCCUGUCUCCACUAACAAUACAAAAGUUAGCUGGGCGUGGUGGCAUGCACCUGUUGUCCCAGCUACUUGGGAGGCUGAGACAGGAGAAUCACUUGAACCCGGGAGUUGGAGGUUGCAGUGAGUCGAGAUCGCGCCACUGCACUCCCACCUGGGUGACAGAGUGAGACUCCGUCUUAAAAAACAAAACAAAACCUCAAGGAAAAAUUAGUGGCUCUAAAAUUCCUAUUUAGGAGAAGCUUUGAAGUAAAAGGCUCAUUAGGAGUGAGAUCUAGGCAAUUUAUUCUGAAGCUGCACUUGGAUAAUAAUGAUAACAAUAACAAAAGCAGCAUAUUCUUAUAGCACUUAUUAGGUACCAGUCACUCUUCUAAAUGCUUUAUGUGGGGCCAGCUGCGGUGGCUCAAACCUGUAAUCCCAGCACUAUGGGAGGCUGAGGGGGGCAGAUACUUGAGGUCAAGAGUUAGAGACCAGCUUGGCCAACAUGGUGAAAAACCCCAUCUCUACUAAAAAUACAAAAAUUAGCCAGAUGUGGUGGUGGGUGCCCAUAAUCCCAGCUACUCUGAGGCUGAGGCAGGAGAAUCGCUUGAAUCCAGGAGGUGGAGGUUGCAGUGAGCCGAGAUUGUGCCACUGCACUCCAGCCUGGGCAACAGAGUGAGAUUCCUUCUCAAAUAAAUAAAUGCUUUAUAUGAGUUAGCCCAUUUAAUCUCCUUCCUUAGCAUAUCAAUUAUACUAUUUUUCAUCAGAACUACUACUAUUCCGAUUUUAUAGAAAAGGAAACUGAGGCUUAUUAAAACUAAAGAAGUGGCCAGGUGUGGUGUUUCAUGCCUGUAAUCUCAGCACUUUGGGAGACUGAGAUGGGAGGAUUACUCGAGUCCAGGAGUUUGAGACCAGCCUGGACAGCAGAGUGAGACCCUGUCUCUACAAAAAAUCAAAAAAUUAUCCAGGCAUGAUGGCGUGCACCUGUGCACCUGUAGUCUCAGCUACUUAGGAGGCUGAGGCAGAACGACUGCUUGAGCCCAGGAGGCCAAGGUUGCAGUGAGCUGUGAUUGCACUGCUGCACUCCAGCCUUGGGUGACAAAGCAAGACACUGCCUCAAAAAAAGAAAGAAAGAGAGGAAGGGAGGAAGGGAGGGAGGAAGGAAGGAAGGGAGGGAAGGAGGGAGGGAGGGAUGGAAGGAGGAAGGAAGGAAGGAGGGAAGGAAGGAAGGAAGGAAAGAAGGAAAGAAGGAAAGAAGGAAGGAGGAAAGGAGUUAAAGAAGUGGCCCAAUAAAUCCUGGGCAGUUUGGCUCCACCACCCUUCACCCUCUGCUAGCACUCCUGUUUGUAUUUAAAGUGGGUUUCUUGUGGACAACACAUAGUUAGGUCUUGAUUUUUCUAAUCCAUUCUGAGGUCUCUGUCUUUAAUUGGUGUAUUUAGACCAUUCACAUUUAAAGUGAUUGUUGAUGUAGUUGGAUUAAUACCUACCACAUUUGUAACUACUUUGCAUUCAGUACACUUGUUUUUACUUUUAAAAAAUCUUCUCUUUUUCUACCUUCUCUGGUUUUGAGUGUUUUAUGUGAUUCCAUAUUCUCUCCUUUCUUAGCAUAUCAAUUAUACUUCUUUUAAGCAACUUUUUGGUGGUUGACCUAGAGGUUUUGUAAUAUACAUUUACAAGUAAUCUGAGUCCACUUUCUUGUUUGUUUUGUUUUGUGGGUUUUUUUUUUUUUUUUUCCAGGCUGGAGUGCAGUGGCACAAUCUCAGCUCACUGCAACCUCUGCCUCUGGGGUUCAAGUGAUCCUCCCACCUCAGCCUCCCGCAGGAGGAGUAGCAGGAUUACAGGUGCUCGCCACCACACCCAGCUAAUUUUUGUAAUUUUAGUAGAAACUGGGUUUUACCCUGUUGGCCAGGCUGGUCUUGAACUCCUGACCUCAAGUGAUCCUCCUGCCUCAGCCUCCCAAAGUGCUGGGAUUACAGGUAUGAGCCACCGCACCUAGCCCCUGAGUUCACUUUCAAAUAACGCUCUAGGGCUUCACUGAGUAUCUGCAAUUCCUCCCUCCCCUCCUUUAUAAUGUUGCUGCCAUUCAUUUCACUUCUGCAAACGCUGUCAUCAACCAUAACCACCUAACACAUUGUUCCUGUUAUUGUUGGUUUACUGCAGUUACUCAUGUCUUGAAUCCUCACAACAAUCUUACAAGGUAGAGACAGUCCUCAGCCUCAUGUCACAGGGGUCUAUGGAGCCACAGGAAGUUUCUGCAAGUCACUGGGUCACAGUCAGCGAGUGGCAGGGCUAAGCUUUGAACUCAGGCAUCCCUCACACUGCAGGCAAGCAGCCUGCUUUUGUUUAGUUGAAGUGCUACCUGUCUUCCAACACAGCAAACUUUACUAAAGAGAGUUUUUAUUCCUCUGCCGUUUUUAUUUUGAGGCAGAGUCUCACUCUGUCACCCAGGCUGGAGCGCAGUGGCGCAGUCUCUGCUCACUGCAACCUCCACCUCCCAGGUUCAAGCAAUUUUCCUGCCUCAGCCUCCUGAGUAGCUGGGAUUACAGACACCUGCCACCAUACCCAGCUAAUUAUUAUUAUUAUUAUUAUUAUUAUUAUUAUUAUUAUUGUAGGUAUGGUGUUUCACCAAGUUGGCCAGGCUGGUCUCAAACUCCUCACCUCACGUGAUCUGCCCACCUCGGCGUCCCAAAGUGCUGGGAUUACAGGCAUGAGCCACUGCACCUGGCCUAAAGAGAGUUUUAAUUUCCAUUUUCUAUGGCGUUUUCACUUAGUAUUGUUCUGCUUAGCAUAUUAUUAUUAUGGGGCCUUUGUAGGGGCUGAUGGAGAUGGAGGGGGCAACCAAAAAAAUUGAGGUUCUGACCUCAUCCACUGACUCCUCCCAAAUCACAUCCUGAGGUCCUGAGGGCUCAACCAAAAAAAUUGGGGUUCUGACCUCAUCCACUGACUCCUCCCAAAUCACAUCCUGAUGUCCUGAGGGCUCAAGAGUGAGAGGGAGGGGCUCACCGUGCCCACCUUGUGGCAUGAGGCAUCAAGGGCUGGGGCAUCCCCGUGUAGAAACAUAGCCAUCUGUUCUCUCAGGUCAACACUCUGGGUCUGCAGUCUGGCCUGCAAACCCUUCUCUAGAAAGUCUGAUCUCUGGAUUCUCAGGCUGUCCCCUGGUGACCCAGGGAUUGGCUGUGGGUCUUUGGCAAGAGGCCAGAAGGGGCAUUCCAGGGACCCUCCCUGCAGUAGCUGAGCAAGGCAGCACCGCUCCUGGAGAUGGGCAGAAAGGAAUCACUUUCUGUUUGUAAACAGCAUCCACAUGCUGCUGGCAUCCUUCCUUCCUCCUGGCCUUCCUGAACUCUGCUCUUUUUGGCAGAGAGAAGCAAUGUGGACAAGGUCCUGGGGCAGGAGCGGGCAUGAGUGUCCUACCCAACCUCGCUGGGCUGAUUUUCUAGGCUAGUGGGAUCCCCCUGAAAAGGCAUCUGGAAUCCGACCUGAAUUUCUUUUUUCUUUUCUUUUUUUUCUUUUUCUUUUUCUUUUUUUUUUUGAAACAGAGUCUCACUCUGUCGCCCAGGCUGGAGUGCAGUGGCACAAUCUUGGCUCACUGCAACCUGCAACCCUGGGUUCAAACAAUUCUCCUGCCUCAGCCUCCUGAGUAGCUGGGAUUAAAGGCACACGUCACCAUACCCGGCUAAUUUUCGUGUUUUUAGUGGAGAUGGGGUUUUGCCACGUUGGCCAGGCUGAUCUCAAACUCCUGACCUCCAGUGAUCUGCCCACCUUGGCCUCUCAAAGUGCUGGGAUUACAGGUGUGAGCCACCAUGCCCAGCCUCAGAUCUGCAUUUUUGGGGCAGACACAAAUCUAGCUGAUCUUUGAGAGGGAAGCCUAGAUAGGGCAGAGGCAAUCUGGACUCCCCAGAUGCCUACAGAGCUGGGGCUGUGGGGCACCCAGUGUCAGGCUAAGAGGGCAGCUGCAUUGUGGUAGGCAGCAUUUUGAUUGAACAGCAUCUGUUCUUUCUGUCGACAGCAUCCUCAUUUCCCCUUGAGUAUCUACGCUUCCGCCUUUCUCAAGUGAUUCUUCCCCUCUGCUCCUGAGGGAGACGGGGGAUCAGACGUGGCCAAUCAGCAGAUUCUCUUCUCCCAUUGGUUCUAUGUUGGUCUAGGCUGUCCAGUGGGAGUCAGUCCUAGGACUCUUUUGCUGAGACCAUUAGAGAAGAGGAAAUCUCCUUUUGCUGAGUUUGUUGAGCUGAUCAGAUGCAACCCUGGAGCUGCUAGAGUCUUGCUUCUCUGCUGACAAAGAGAACGUAGACCCUAAAGAUGAUUUUUUAUUUUUAUUUAUUUAUUUUUUAAUUAAUUAAUUGUUGUUUGUUUGUUUGUUUGUUUAAGAUGGAGUCUGGCUCUCUCACCCAGGCUGGAGUGCAAUGACACAAUUUUGGCUCACUGCAACCUCUGCCUCCUGGGGCUCAAGCGAUUCUCCUGCCUCAGCCUCCCAAGUAGCUGGGACUACAGGUGCACGCUGCCAUGCCUGACUAAUUAUUGUAUUUUUAGUAGAGAUGGGGUUUCACCAUGUUGGCCAGGCUGGUCUCGAACUCCUGACCUCAGGUGAUCUGCCCACCUCGGCCUCCCAAAGUACUGGGAUUACAGGAGUGAGCCACCAUGCCCAGCCCUAAAACUGAUAUUUUAAAUGGCAUUGUAAAUGAGUGGGGAAAGAAUGGAUUAUUCACAAAAUAGAACAACUGGUUACACAUUUGGAGGGGGUGGAAAUUAAGUUGGACCCCUUCCUUGUAUCACAAAACAAUUCCAGUUAGAUGAAGGAAGUAUUAAAAAGUGGACACAGUGAAAGAAAAUGCAGGAUAAUGCUUUUUCAUACACAUGAGAGUGGGCAAGACUUUCCUUAGCAUGCCACAAAGUCCAGAAGCUACAAAUGGAAAAUAUUUGCAGAUUGACUUCCUGAAAACAGAAACCUGUAUAGCCAAAGAUAGCACAGAAAAAGUUGAAAGGCCAACAAUGACUGGGAGAAAAGGUUUACAACAUUGCAACAAAGGUAAAUACUCCUAAUUACAGAAAUAACUGAAUUGAACAUCAAUAGGACAAAAGGAAAUACCGCUUAUGCUCAAAUUGGGCAAAGGACGUGAGCUCCAAAGUUACAGAAAAAUAGUCAGAUCGUUGUUCACUCCUAGGAACACUGAUCAAAAGAAGCAUCUGGGGGAAGGGAUUAGAAGUGAUGUCACGCACAGAACUGUUGAAGGAAUGGAGAAUAUUUAGCAUGGAAGGAAACGGGUUAGCGCAACACCUUCCAAUAAAAAGAUAAUGUCAGGGGCCGGGCGUGGUGGCUCACGUCUGUAAUCCUAGCACUUUGAGAGGCCAAGGCAGACAGAUUGCUUGAGCCCAGGAUUUCGAGACCAGCCUGGGAAACAUAGCAAAACCCUAUCUCUAAACAAAACAAAAUAAAACAAAAAUUAGCUGGGUGUGGUGGUGCAUACCUGUUGUCCCAGCUACUCUAGAGGCUGAGGCGGAAGGAUCGCUUGAGCCCUGGGGGUUGAAGCUGUAGUGGGCUGUGACCACACCACUGCAAUCCAGCCUGGGCGACAGAGCAAGACUGUCUCAAAAAAACCAAAACAAACAAACAAACAACAACCAAAUAGCUAGUAUAUAGAAAAGGAGUUAAGCCUGCUAAGCACAGUGGACAAAAAGACAGAUCAACAGGUAAAAAUAGCAGGGAGUUAGAUUUUAAUUCAACACAAGAAAAAACUAUAAUUUACGUUUGUACUAUCCAAAACAGUAGCCAUCAGCCCCAAGUGACCACUGAGCACUGAUCUAGCUAGUCUGAUUGAGAAGUGGUGACAUGUAAAAUACACACCAGAUUUCUAAGAUUUAGUACAAUACAUAUGAAUGUAAAACAAUGUAAAACAUUCCAUUAAAUUUCUAACUUUUUUUUUUUAGACUGAGUCUCGCUCUGUCACCCAGGCUGGAGUGCAGUGGCAUGAUCUCAGCUCAAUGAAACCUCCACCCCCCACGUUCAAGCAAUUCUCCUGCCUCAGCAUCCUGAGUAGCUGGGAUUACAGGCAUAUGCUACCACGCCCAGCUAAUUUUUGUAUCUUUAGUAAAGAUAGGGUUUCACAACAUUGGUCAGGCUGGUCUCGAACUCCUGACCUCAGGUGAUCCCCUCAUCUUGGCCUCCCAAAGUGCUCAGAUGACAGGUGUAAGCCACCGUGCCUGGCCUAAAUUUCUGAAUAUUGAAUACAUGUUGAAAUGAUCGUAUUUUAGAUCUAUUGGGAAAAAGAAAAUAUUAAAAUUAAUUUGACUUGUUUCUUUUUACUUUUUAAAUAUACUUUAAAAAGUAAUGUUAACAUGUUUACAUUAUAUUUCUGUUGGGUAGCACUGAUUAAAACCUCUGUUACAAUGGGAUAGAAUGGUUUGUGGAGUAGUGAGUUCCCUGUCCUGAGAGCGUUUCAAGCCGAGGUUGGAUGAUUGGGAAGUAGGGACAGCACGUGAUGACAUCAGAGUUGAGAACCCGUAGAUUUCUUCAGCUCCUGGGUCUCCUCGAUGUGUAGGGGCUUCUGGGACUACAGCUAAGUGCAUAGCUAGAGAGCAGCUCAUCGUCUUCCUGGAAGUGGCCUAGAAAGCAGCUCUCAUUCCACACAGCAGGAGUCAUCUCUUCUUAACAAUAAUCCAGCAUGAACUACUGUUGGUUCAGGGGGCAAGGAUUGGCAGAAUGAGAACCGGACCCUGCCUGCCUUCUGUGCCCUUGUGGCUUAGCCCAGCUCCAGGGUCAGCUCCAUGAGGCCCCCAUUUUCUCCUGCUCCCAGAUAGUGUGCAGAGGGAGGACCCCUCAUGGCUCUCUGCUCAGCUGCACGUCCUGGGCAGAGCUCCCACACGAGGGAAGCUCUUGGCUGCCUGGGUGUGGAGAGGCCCUUUAGAGUAAGUAGCGUAGCAGAUGCAAAGCUGGAAACGCUACUUCCCACUCCCUGCUGGCCAGACUGUUUCCUCCUUGCAAUCUUUGUCUCAUCAAGCAAGGAUCAAGCCAGCACCCCAAGAGUGGGCUGACCAGGCCCUGAUGCAAGCUGUGCAACCGAGAACCAGCAUGCAUUUUGGUUAAUAAUAGAAACCCACGAGCGGCAUGAUGGUGUGGCCAAGGCUCGGAGCCUGGAAGCUCUAUUCUGGCCCUGGUGUUCCCCCUUUACAGUGAGACUUUGAGAAAGUCCCUUCUCUUCUGCUCAUUCAUCAGACAAGGGAGGGGGACACCAAGUGGGCUUCCCAGCUCUGAAAUCCUAGGAUUGUUUGAUGCAUCAAUAUCAGCUCCUCAUAGCUCUCGUCUGUGGCAUUCUCUUAUUUCUCGUUGCUAAGUUUAUCUGUCCCAACCAGAUGAAUGAAGAUGAUGACAGCAAUAACAAUAUCUGCAGCUAGUAUUUGUCAAUUGCAGCUCUGUUUUAUGUGCAUUUGACUUAUUCAGUCUUCCCGACCACUUUAUGAGGUAGAGACCAUUAUUAUCUCUGUUUUAUGAAGGCAGAAAUGAAGAACUAUCAAUUCCUUAUGUAAGUUUGCUAUGGCUGCCAUAACACAGCACCUCAGACUGGGUGGCUUAAACCAGUGGUCCUCAACCUUUUUGGUACCAGGAACUGGUUUCAUGGAGGCAAUUUUUCCACAGAUGGGGGUUGGGGGACGGUUUGGGGAUGAUUCGAGUGCAUUCCGUUUAUCGUGCACCUUAUUUCUAUUAUCAUUACAUUGUAAUAUAUAGUGACGUAAUUAUACAACUCACCAUAAGGUAGAAUUAAUGCGAGCCCUGAGCUUGUUUUCCUGCAACUAGAUGGUCCCAUCUGGGGGCGAUGGGGGACAGUGACAGAUCAUCAGGCAUUGGAUUCUCAUAAGGAGCACGCAACCUAGAUCCCUCAAAUGUGUGGUUUACAGUAGGGUUCACGCUCUGAUAAUAAUUUUUUUUAUUUUUUAUUUUUUAUUUUUAUUUUUUUGAGACAGAGUCUUGCUCUGUCACCCAGACUGGAGUGCAGUGGGUGAUCUCGGCUCACUAUAAUCUCCACCUCCCAGGUUCAAGUGAUUCUCCCACCUCAGCCUCCCAAGUAGCUGGAAUUACAGGCACCCACCACCACUCCCAGCUAAUUUUUGUAUUUUUAAUAGAGACGGGGUUUUGCUGUGUUCGUCAGGCUGGCCUUUAACUCCUGACCUCAGGUGAUCUGCCUGCCUUGACCUCCCAAAGUGCUGGGAUUACAGGUGUGAGCCACCAGGCCCGGCCAGCUCCUAUAAGAAUUUAAUGCUGCUGCUGAUCUGACAGGAGGUGGAGCUCAGGUGGUAAUGGAAGUGAUGAGGAGUGGCUGUAAAUACAGAUGAAGCUUUGCUUGCCUGCCCAUCACUCACCUCCUGCUGUGUGGCCCAGUUCCUAACUGGUUCCCUGGGGAGUUGGAGACCCUGGCUUAAACCACAGAAAUGUAUUUUCUCACAGUUCUGGAGGCCAGAAGUCCAAGAUCAAGGUGUCAGCAGGGAUGGUUCCUUCUCUCCUUAGCUAGUUGAUGGCCUUCUUCUCCCUGUGUCUAUACAUUGUCUUCCCCUUGUACAUGUCUGUGUCCAGAUUUCCUCUUCUCAUAAGGACACUGGUCAUAUUGGGUUACAGCCCACUUGAGUGGCCUUACUUUAACUUACCUCUUUAAAGACACUAUCUCCAAAUACAGUCACAUUCUGAGUUACUGGGGUCAGGACUUCAGCAUAUGCAUCUUGGGAGUGAUAUAAUUCACCCCAUAAUACCUCCCUAAGGUAGGGAGAGCCUCCUCCUUCCCCCGCACCCCUUGCAGAACUGGGUGGGCGUACAAUAGAGAUCCUUAGAUGAUCUUUGGUAAAAAUAAAGUUUGAGUGGGGGGGCAGGGGAGGACCUAAGGUUAAGGGGUCCUCCUCAGGGUUCCCAGGUCCACCUCAUAGUAUGCAGCUGGGGGCUCAGACCCCUCUCUGCCCUUUUGUGGUGCUGCCAGCCUCGAUGAGGGAAAUGGUUAAGUGAACAGAAAUGUCCUCCUCAUCCUGGAAGAGCAUGACCCCACUGAGGAGUCAGGAGGCUUCCUGGAGGCAGUUUCAUAGGAGGACAGGAAUCCAGCAAGGCGAGAGAGCUUUCUGAGCAGAAGGAAUAGGUGAUGGGCAUGAGAGAGUGUGUUCUGUGAAAGGGGCUCCAGGCAGCAUCAAGUUCAAAGCUGGGAAGAAGGUGGCAGCCAGCAGGGGAAACCAGGAAGGUCUUGAAUGCUAAGGAAUGUGCUUAGGAGCUAGGGAUGCUGUCAAGCAUGGGAGUGCAGCCUGGGGAUUUAUCGUGAGCAGGAGCUUUGUGAUGCAGUGUGGGGGUUGCCCCCGGUGGGUGGGUUAGCUGCCAGAGCCCAAGCUAUUACCCGCUUGCUCUCUCUUCCCUGCCAUGCUGCUAAUUCACUCACAUCCCUUUCUUCGCCUUCCUCUGGGAAGCCGGGGGCCCUCUCUCAUCUGUUGUUCAGCCAAGAUCCUGAGCCAUUCAGCUUCCCAACCAUUGGUCUUGAACAAUCACUUCGCAAACAUGAUUUGGAGGCACGGUGCUCAGGAGGCUACGUCCCAAACACACCAAAACCAGUAUGUAAUCUCUGUCUUUACAAAGACUGUGUGUGCCUUCUUGGGACCCCCACUUACUGGUGGGGGUGGGUCAGGAGGAAGGGUCUCCUCUGGCUGAGUCUCCAUAGGCAGGGAGAGAACCCAAGAAUGCAGUAGGAAGCCUGCAGGAGGCUCAGAGUGGGCUAAAUUGAGAACAUCCUGUAACACAGAACUUCCCCCCUUUAAGCUGCUUUGGCUAACAAUAAUAAUAAUAACAGCCAAUACAUACUGAGCACUUAUUUUGUAUAAGUGAGUUACAAAAGUAAUUCAUUUAAUCUUCAUAGCAACCCUGUGCAGUAGGAACUAUUAUCUCUCUUUUACAAAUGCAGAAACUGAGGCAUGAAGCCGCUAAGCCGCUUUCCGAAAGUCACUGGUUGAACUACUCAAAUAAAGGAUAAUGGGAGUCUUUUGCUGAGAUAGAAGAUGAAAUCUAUCUACAGCUUGGAGAUAGUUACACCAUCAGUUUUUGGCCAGUUGUUUCAUAAAAAUUAGUGCAAACUGGCAUCUUCAGUUUUUCCACACAAAGCUUAAAAAUUAGAUGCUACUGUUUAAAUUGAGAUAUUUGGGUAGGGAAUUGUUUCUCACAUCUGUAAUCCCAGUCCAUUGGGAGGCUGCAGAGGGAGGAUUCGCUUGAGGUCAGGAGUUUGAGGCCA
rnacentral:lncRNA from 1 species